ACGUAGGGGGCAAGCGUUAUCCGGAAUUAUUGGGCGUAAAGAGUGCGUAGGUGGUUGAGAAAGAGAGAGGGGAAAGGAAAUAGCAUAACUAUUGUAAGCCUUGCGAACUGGAAGACUUGAGUGCAGGAGAGGAAAGUGGAAUUCCUAGUGUAGCGGUGAAAUGCGUAGAUAUUAGGAGGAACACCAGUGGCGAAGGCGACUUUCUGGACUGUAACUGACACUGAGGCACGAAAGCGUGGGGAGCAAACAG
rnacentral:rRNA from 1 species